UACAGGGGGUGCAAACGUUGCUCGGAAUCAUUGGGCGUAAAGCGCACGUAGGCGGUUCGUUAUGUCGGAUGUGAAGCCCCUUGGCUUAACCGAGGAAGUGCCAUCCGAAACUGGCGAGCUAGAGUACUAAAGAGGAUCGCGGAAUUCCCGGUGUAGAGGUGAAAUUCGUAGAUAUCGGGAGGAACCACCCGUGGCGAAGGCGGCUCUCUGGGACGGUACGUGACGCUGAGACGCGAAGCGUGGGAGCGAACAGG
rnacentral:rRNA from 1 species